GAUGAAGAACGCAGCGAAAUGCGAUAAGUAGUGUGAAUUGCAGAAUUCCGUGAAUCAUCGAAUCUUUGAACGCACAUUGCGCCCCCUGGUAUUCCGGGGGGCAUGCCUGUCCGAGCGUCAUUACAACCCUCAAGCCCGGCUUGUGUAAUGGGCGGCCGUCUCUCCCCCCGGGGGGAGACGCCCCCGAAACUCAGUGGGGAUGUCGCGAUACCGAAGCCUCAGCUAAUGGGUAAACCACAGCUGCAAUGGCCGCGGCCGGCGUCCGCCUUCCACGGUCCGUCCGCCUAGCGCGGGCGGCCUUCUCAAGGUUGACCUCGGAUCAGGUAGGGAUACCCGCUGAACUUAAGCAUAUCAAUAAGCGGAGGA
rnacentral:misc_RNA from 1 species